rnacentral:rRNA from 1 species
UGAGGAAUAUUGGUCAAUGGGCGCAAGCCUGAACCAGCCAUCCCGCGUGCAGGAAGACGGCGCUAUGCGUUGUAAACUGCUUCUCCAGGGGGAGAAACUUGCGCACGUGUUGCGCAAUUGACGGUACCCUGGGAAUAAGCAUCGGCUAACUCCGUGCCAGCAGCCGCGGCAAUACGGAGGAUGCGAGCGUUAUCCGGAUUCAUUGGGUUUAAAGGGUGCGUAGGCGGACUAUUAAGUCUGUGGUGAAAUCCUGCAGCUUAACUGCAGAACUGCCAUUGAUACUGAUAGCCUUGAGUUUGGUUAAGGUAGGCGGAAUGUGUAAUGUAGCGGUGAAAUGCUUAGAUAUUACACAGAACACCAAUUGCGUAGGCAGCUUACUGAGCCGACACUGACGCUGAGGCACGAAAGCGUGGGGAUCGAACAG